rnacentral:lncRNA from 1 species
AGAGAGAGAGAGAGAGAGAGAGUUAAGCAGGCAAGUACGCGCUUGCAUGCAUGAAUAUUUUAGGUUGAGCAGUCGUCAGGUAUUGCGAUCAAUUUCGCCAUUUGUGGCUGCUUCUUGUGCUGUCGACGAUGGCCCAUGGGUACACAAUCUAAAGCUGGCUGAGUAAAGGUGCAGCUACCUUUUCAUGAAUGCAAGAGCAUCAACGUCUGUUUCAAUCAUAGUUUGCAGAGUAUCACCACUCAUACCUUUACAUAUAAUGGAUUCAGUCAGAUAAUUGCAGAAAAAUCAUACAGAGAUUGUUACGCUAGAGUUUUGGCAUCAGAGUGUUUGCACAAGUCGGGGGGGUCCGGUGAUUGAAGAACUGCACACGUCAGAGAGCAAGAAGCACAAGAAGUUCUUGCACCCCACAUCUUAUAUAAUUAAAAGUAAGAUCAUGAAUGGUGGAAUCGUUUUUUAUAGUCAAAUAAAAUCUGUGUGAUUGCUUUCUCUAAAAAGAUUCUAAUAUUCAUAUGACUAGACUUCUUUUGUUUCUGUGAAAAAAGAUGACAACGACCUGUACAUCAGUCCGCGUGACAGAUUUCGAUCAGAAGCCUUGCAUGCAUGCAUGCAUGGAUACAGUUUGUCCCGUGAAGGCUUAGCAGCAGCAGGGACGUACUCUUCAGUCUCCAUGUGGCCGACGCCAUCCGCGCUCUCGCGUCACUCUCACGUGAGCGCGGUGAGCCCCGGCCCGCCGCCCGCCGGCCGGCCGGCCGGGGAUCUCCUCGCGGUCGUACCCAUCCUCGUUGCGUCGCAUGCACGCACGAGCCCCGAGAUUCCUCAGGCAUCCCGUCAUGCAUUCUCCAACGGGGUGUCCAGCCGGCGAUUUGCCUGGAUCACGUGACUAGAAAGGACCAAGGUGGCAUAUAUCAUUGCCUAAUAAUUGCGCCGGCCAGGGAGUGCGCUUGGG